rnacentral:rRNA from 1 species
CAUAUCAAUAAGCGGAGGAAAAGAAACCAACCGGGAUUGCCUCAGUAACGGCGAGUGAAGCGGCAAGAGCUCAAAUUUGAAAGCUGGCCCCUUCGGGGUCCGCGUUGUAAUUUGCAGAGGAUGCUUCGGGUGCGGCCCCUGUCUAAGUGCCCUGGAACGGGCCGUCAGAGAGGGUGAGAAUCCCGUCUUGGGCAGGGUGCCCGUGCCCGUGUGAAGCUCCUUCGACGAGUCGAGUUGUUUGGGAAUGCAGCUCUAAAUGGGUGGUAAAUUUCAUCUAAAGCUAAAUACCGGCCGGAGACCGAUAGCGCACAAGUAGAGUGAUCGAAAGAUGAAAAGCACUUUGAAAAGAGAGUUAAACAGCACGUGAAAUUGUUGAAAGGGAAGCGCUUGCGACCAGACUCGGCCCCGGGGUUCAGCCAGCACUCGUGCUGGUGUACUUCCCCGGGGGCGGGCCAGCGUCGGUUUGGGCGGCCGGUCAAAGGCCCCAGGAAUGUAUCGCCCUCCGGGGUUGUCUUAUAGCCUGGGGUGCAAUGCGGCCAGCCCGGACCGAGGAACGCGCUUCGGCACGGACGCUGGCGUAAUGGUCGCAAACGAC